GAGGAAACAGCCUGGCUCAACAUCACUGUCUUUGCAGCAGAAAUCCACAAUCGGCAUCAGGAAGCCAAAGUCCCAGUGGCCAUUAGGGUCCUUGACGUCAAUGAUAAUGCUCCCAAGUUUGCUGCCCCUUAUGAAGGUUUCAUCUGUGAGAGUGAUCAGACCAAACCACUUUCCAACCAGCCAAUUGUUACAAUUAGUGCAGAUGACAAGGAUGACACAGCCAAUGGACCAAGAUUUAUCUUCAGCCUACCCCCUGAAAUCAUUCACAAUCCAAAUUUCACAGUCAGAGACAACCGAGCCCGAGCUUCAAAGCCGACUCAGCAGGCAGCAGGAAAAUAGAACACUGGAUGAUUCUUCAACAUUUAAGUCCAUCUUGGGCUAUUAAUAUCAGGAAUGGUGCUGUUUGGGCAGAUGAAGAGCUGGUCCACCCAGGUUU
rnacentral:sRNA from 1 species